UACGGAGGGUGCAAGCGUUAUCCGGAUUCACUGGGUUUAAAGGGCGCGUAGGCGGUCGUGACAAGUCACUUGUGAAAUCUCCGGGCUUAACUCGGAACGGUCAAGUGAUACUGUCGGACUAGAGUACAGAAGGGGCAACUGGAAUUCUCGGUGUAGCGGUGAAAUGCGUAGAUAUCGAGAGGAACACCUGCGGCGAAGGCGGGUUGC
rnacentral:rRNA from 1 species